rnacentral:rRNA from 1 species
AUACGGAGGGUCCGAGCGUUAUCCGGAAUCAUUGGGUUUAAAGGGUCCGUAGGCGGGAGUCUAAGUCAGUGGUGAAAUCUUGCAGCUCAACUGUAAAAUUGCCAUUGAUACUGGAUUUCUUGAAUUAGUGUGAAGUGGUUAGAAUGUGUAGUGUAGCGGUGAAAUGCAUAGAUAUUACACAGAAUACCAAUUGCGAAGGCAGAUCACUAACACUAUAUUGACGCUGAGGGACGAAAGCGUGGGGAGCGAACAGGAUUAGAAACCCCAGUAGUCC